GGGUUGUGAGGUUAAGCGACUAAGCGUACACGGUGGAUGCCUAGGCAAUCAGAGGCGAUGAAGGACGUGCUAAUCUGCGAUAAGCGUCGGUAAGGUGAUAUGAACCGUUAUACCCGACGAUUUCCGAAUGGGGAAACCCAGUGCAAUUCGUUGCACUAUCGUUUGAUGAAUACAUAGUCAAACGAAGCGAACCGGGGGAACUGAAACAUCUCAGUACCCCGAGGAAAAGAAAUCAACCGAGAUUCCCCUAGUAGCGGCGAGCGAACGGGGAGCAGCCCAGAGUCUUAAUCAGCAUUAGUAUCAGGAGAACGGUCUGGAAAGUCCGGCAGUAAAGGGUGAUAGCCCCGUAUCUGAAGAU
rnacentral:rRNA from 2 species